UGGCGAACGGGUGAGUAACGCGUGAGGAACCUGCCUCAAAGAGGGGGACAACAGUUGGAAACGACUGCUAAUACCGCAUAAGCGCACAGUACCGCAUGGUACGGUGUGAAAAACUCCGGUGGUAUGAGAUGGACCCGCGUCUGAUUAGGUAGUUGGUGGGGUAACGGCCUACCAAGCCGACGAUCAGUAGCCGGCCUGAGAGGGUGAACGGCCACAUUGGGACUGAGACACGGUCCAA
rnacentral:rRNA from 1 species